GAUGAACGCUAGCUACAGGCUUAACACAUGCAAGUCGAGGGGCAGCAUGGUCUUAGCUUGCUAAGACUGAUGGCGACCGGCGCACGGGUGAGUAACACGUAUCCAACCUGCCGUCUACUCUUGGACAGCCUUCUGAAAGGAAGAUUAAUACAAGAUGGCAUCAUGAGUCCGCAUGUUCACAUGAUUAAAGGUAUUCCGGUAGACGAUGGGGAUGCGUUCCAUUAGAUAGUAGGCGGGGUAACGGCCCACCUAGUCUUCGAUGGAUAGGGGUUCUGAGAGGAAGGUCCCCCACAUUGGAACUGAGACACGGUCCAAACUCCUACGGGAGGCAGCAGUGAGGAAUAUUGGUCAAUGGGCGAGAGCCUGAACCAGCCAAGUAGCGUGAAGGAUGACUGCCCUAUGGGUUGUAAACUUCUUUUAUAAAGGAAUAAAGUCGGGUAUGGAUACCCGUUUGCAUGUACUUUAUGAAUAAGGAUCGGCUAACUCCGUGCCAGCAGCCGCGGUAAUACGGAGGAUCCGAGCGUUAUCCGGAUUUAUUGGGUUUAAAGGGAGCGUAGAUGGAUGUUUAAGUCAGUUGUGAAAGUUUGCGGCUCAACCGUAAAAUUGCAGUUGAUACUGGAUAUCUUGAGUGCAGUUGAGGCAGGCGGAAUUCGUGGUGUAGCGGUGAAAUGCUUAGAUAUCACGAAGAACUCCGAUUGCGAAGGCAGCCUGCUAAGCUGCAACUGACAUUGAGGCUCGA
rnacentral:rRNA from 1 species